AUUGAACGCUGGCGGCAUGCUUUACACAUGCAAGUCGAACGGUAACAGGCCGCAAGGUGCUGACGAGUGGCGAACGGGUGAGUAAUGCAUCGGAACGUGCCCAGUCGUGGGGGAUAACGCAGCGAAAGCUGUGCUAAUACCGCAUACGAUCUAUGGAUGAAAGCGGGGGACCGUAAGGCCUCGCGCGAUUGGAGCGGCCGAUGUCAGAUUAGGUAGUUGGUGGGGUAAAGGCCUACCAAGCCGACGAUCUGUAGCUGGUCUGAGAGGACGACCAGCCACACUGGGACUGAGACACGGCCCAGACUCCUACGGGAGGCAGCAGUGGGGAAUUUUGGACAAUGGGCGCAAGCCUGAUCCAGCAAUGCCGCGUGCAGGAAGAAGGCCUUCGGGUUGUAAACUGCCUUUGUACGGAACGAAACGGUCUGGGUUAAUACCCUGGGCUAAUGACGGUACCGUAAGAAUAAGCACCGGCUAACUACGUGCCAGCCGCCGCGGUAAGAC
rnacentral:rRNA from 1 species